CAGCGUGAUGUCUAUGUGAGAACUUCAUUGAAACAAGAUAAUCUGAUGUAAUUAUAGCCAAUUACUCAUUCGUGGCUGGCAUUAUUAUAUGUAAAAUGCUUUUUCAUUUAGGGGAAUAGUGUUUAUUCCUUGUAGUGAAUGAACAGCAAUAAAGCUUAUNUGGCAUUAUUAUAUGUAAAAUGCUUUUUCAUUUAGGGGAAUAGUGUUUAUUCCUUGUAGUGAAUGAACAGCAAUAAAGCUUAUAUAAGAAGAAUUAAACUUCUUUGUCAGAAUUUUUUGGACAUAAUGGUAGACAUUC
rnacentral:lncRNA from 1 species